rnacentral:rRNA from 1 species
ACGACUCUCGGCAACGGAUAUCUCGGCUCACGCAUCGAUGAAGAACGCAGCAAAAUGCGAUACUUGGUGUGAAUUGCAGAAUCCCGUGAACCAUCGAGUUUUUGAACGCAAGUUGCGCCCGAAGCCAUCUGGUUGAGGGCACGUCUGCCUGGGCGUCACGC